rnacentral:rRNA from 1 species
AUGCAAGUCGAACGAUGAAGUUCCUUCGGGAAUGGAUUAGUGCGAACGGGUGAGAACACGUGAGAAACCUGCCUUUCAUUCUGGGAUAACACGGGGAACCGGUGCUAAUACCGGAUACUCCAUCUUGGCGGCAUCGCCGAGCUGGGAAAAAAAUUUUGAUGAAAGAUGGUCUCGCGGCCUAUCAGCUAGUUGGUGAGGUAAAGGCUCACCAAGGCGACGACGGGUAGCCGGCCUGAGAGGGCGACCGGCCACACUGGGACUGAGACACGGCCCAGACUCC